rnacentral:piRNA from 1 species
GGUACUCAUCACUUGGCAGAAGACA